rnacentral:rRNA from 1 species
GAUGAACGCUGGCGGCGUGCCUAAUACAUGCAAGUCGAGCGAACAGAUAAGGAGCUUGCUCCUUUGACGUUAGCGGCGGACGGGUGAGUAACACGUGGGUAACCUACCUAUAAGACUGGAAUAACUCCGGGAAACCGGGGCUAAUGCCGGAUAACAUUUAGAGCCGCAUGGUUCUAAAGUGAAAGAUGGUUUUGCUAUCACUUAUAGAUGGACCCGCGCCGUAUUAGCUAGUUGGUAAGGUAACGGCUUACCAAGGCAACGAUACGUAGCCGACCUGAGAGGGUGAUCGGCCACACUGGAACUGAGACACGGUCCAGACUCCUACGGGAGGCAGCAGUAGGGAAUCUUCCGCAAUGGGCGAAAGCCUGACGGAGCAACGCCGCGUGAGUGAUGAAGGUCUUCGGAUCGUAAAACUCUGUUAUUAGGGAAGAACAAAUGUGUAAGUAACUGUGCACGUCUUGACGGUACCUAAUCAGAAAGCCACGGCUAACUACGU